rnacentral:rRNA from 1 species
GUAGGGAAUAUUGGGCAAUGGAUGCAAGUCUGACCCAGCCAUGCCGCGUGGAGGAAGAAGGUCCUCUGGAUUGUAAACUCCUUUUUUGGGGGAAGAAUAGUUCUCUUGCGAGGGAAUGUGACGGUACCCUAAGAAUAAGCCACGGCUAACUACGUGCCAGCAGCCGCGGUAAUACGUAGGUGGCAAGCGUUGUCCGGAUUUAUUGGGUUUAAAGGGUGCGUAGGUGGUUUGAUAAGUCAGUGGUGAAAGCUGGUUGCUCAACAAUCAAGUUGCCAUUGAUACUGUCGGACUUGAGAGAAGUGGAGGUGCAUGGAAUGGAUGGUGUAGCGGUGAAAUGCAUAGAUAUCAUCCAGAACGUCGAUUGCGAAGGCAGUGGGCUGUACUUUAUCUGACACUGAGGCACGAAAGUGUGGGGAUCAAACAGGAUUAGAAACCCCGGUAGUCC